UGGGGAAUUUUGCACAAUGGGGGAAACCCUGAUGCAGCGACGCCGCGUGAUUUAGAAGGCCUUCGGGUUGUAAAAAUCUUUUUUACGGGAUGAAAAUGACAGUACCGUAAGAAUAAGGUCCGGCUAAAUACGUGCCAGCAGCCGCGGUAAUACGUAUGGACCGAGCGUUGUCCGGAAUCAUUGGGCGUAAAGGGUACGUAGGCGGCCUAGUAAGUUAGAAGUUAAAGAAUAUAGCUCAACUAUAUAAAGCUUUUAAAACUGCUAGGCUUGAGAGAUGGAAGGGAAAGUGGAAUUCCUAGUGUAGCGGUGAAAUGCGCAGAUAUUAGGAAGAAUACCGGUGGCGAAGGCGACUUUAUAGUCAUCAUCUGACGCUGAGGUACGAAAGCGUAGGUAGCAAACAGG
rnacentral:rRNA from 1 species